UACGUAGGGUGCGAGCGUUAAUCGGAUUUACUGGGCGUAAAGCGUGCGUAGGAGGCCACCUAAGUCGGUUGUGAAAUCCCCGGGCUUAACCUGGGAAUUGCAGUCGAUACUGGGCGGCUAGAGUUCGGUAGAGGGCAGCGGAACUCCAGGUGUAGCGGUGAAAUGCGUAGAUAUCUGGAAGAACACCGAUGGCGAAGGCAACUGCCUGGGCCUGAACUGACUCUGAGGCACGAAAGCGUGGGGAGCAAACAGG
rnacentral:rRNA from 1 species